GAUGGCGGCGCUGCAUGUGGCGGGCGUCAUCAUUGAGUUUUCUUUUGAUUUUCAUUAAUGUGAGCCGUGGAAAACCGAAGAGGGCGCGUAAUUGAUUUGUACCUUAGGCUUUCCAGUAAUUAUAAACACUCCAGAUUUGUGGAGACUUUACUAUGUUGAACAAUAAGGAGUAGCAGUUAGAAAACUUCUUACCCUAAGUUUCUUAUGGAGACAAUAAAGCUUUGGAGAAAAACAUUUAAAAAGCUGAGAUAUAUGAGCACUAGCAUAAAAAGGCGAAUGCUUUCGUAUUCGAGUUUUGAGUGGAAUCGUGUCGAGUUGUGAAAAACUACCAAAUGGGUGUGACAGUUAAUGACGCCAAGAGUCCACUCAUUCAAGUCGCCCUCUCAGUCGGCGCCAGUUUUGACACAUUGAAGAUCGCCAAAUUGAUCAUAGUUAGCAGCGAACCGAUGACAUCGCCACCGCCAUGAGCAAUCGUCAUAAGCUGCGCCGUAAAAACGCCCUCAAAAAACAAUGAAAAACUAAUAAGAAGGCUUAUGCUGGCAAUGCCGGACCAGAAGAUGCCCUGCAAAAACGUAUAAUAUCUAAGUGAAGCUUAGAAAGACAGAGCAUGCAAAUUUCAAACAGCGCAGCUUAUGCAGCUUGAACAGCUUCGUUCUUUAUAGUCCGAUAUUUGUGUUAUAUUCAAGGCUAACAUAGGCCAACCCAAACUGUGUAUAUACUAAAGUGCACGGCCAGGCCUUCAAAAUUCUUAUUUAUUGUAGAGUAUAAACGACUUAUCGAUUUCUUGAACUAUUGUUGUGACAAAUUUAAUAAUAUUAAGAGUUACGUCCCAAAAUCCAACUGAA